AACGAACGCUGGCGGCAGGCUUAACACAUGCAAGUCGAGCGAGACCUUCGGGUCUAGCGGCGGACGGGUGAGUAACGCGUGGGAACGUGCCCUUCUCUACGGAAUAGCCCCGGGAAACUGGGAGUAAUACCGUAUACGCCCUUUGGGGGAAAGAUUUAUCGGAGAAGGAUCGGCCCGCGUUGGAUUAGGUAGUUGGUGGGGUAAUGGCCCACCAAGCCGACGAUCCAUAGCUGGUUUGAGAGGAUGAUCAGCCACACUGGGACUGAGACACGGCCCAGACUCCUACGGGAGGCAGCAGUGGGGAAUCUUAGACAAUGGGGGCAACCCUGAUCUAGCCAUGCCGCGUGAGUGAUGAAGGCUUUAGGGUUGUAAAGCUCUUUCAGCUGGGAAGAUAAUGACGGUACCAGCAGAAGAAGCCCCGGCUAACUCCGUG
rnacentral:rRNA from 1 species